GGAGCUGACGCCGAGGUUGCGAAGUAGGCGGCGGGGCCGAGGCCUUGGAUGAGGGCGCGGUGCGGCGCUGGGCCGGGUCAGCUGGAGGAGCGGAGGUGACUUCCGGCGCGCGGCUCCGGAGGCCAGUGGCUCCCUCAGGCCCGGGGCGGGACGGGGCGGCGGGAGGCGAGCGGCCACCCCGCCCGCGGCCCGCCCUUGGCGUCCGGGGCCUGCGGGCGCGUGCGGCCCAAAAGGCGGCUCCGCACGCGCUCGGCCCCCCGCGCAGGGCUUCGGAAGGCAGACCGCUGCACCGCGCCGCGCCGCGCCGGAAGCGCCUCGGCGUCUCGGGAGUGGCGCGCUGUUGACAGCCGCGCUCGCGGACUUGGGCUGCGCGUUGUUCGGGCUCGGCGCUCGGCCCGCGGACGCUUCUCGGAGCGCUGUGGCGUCCCCGAAGCCCGUAGCACUGGAAUGGGCAGACGACAGGAACGGGAAAGGUGCCCAUGGCGUCGGAGCGGCGCAAGGUCAAGUAUCACUGGGGCAGCACGUCGGAAGGGUGUCCCAGCAAGCGCAGCCGCCCCCGGGAGCCCGGCAAUGUGGCCCCCUCCAGCCGGCCAGGUCGCAGGUGUGCGUCGCGUCCUCGAGGGGCCAGCAGCCCCCAGCGUCUGAAAGUCCGGCGCGGGGACGAUGUGGCCCGCGCUCCUCGGAGCUCAGUCCGCCGUCGCACCUCCUCUUCCUCUUCUUCGUCCUCUCUCUCUUCGGGCUCAGGUGUGGGUGAGGCCGCUUCCCCUGGCUUCCUGAUUGCGAGCCCUCGGAGACUAUUUACGUCCAAGGGGUCCCCUCUGCACCCUGCCCACUCCUCUCUAGAAGAAAUGGCUUCUCUACGGAAGGAAGCUUGUAGCGUUAAGGUUGAUUCUAAAGAUAGUUCUUGCCGCUCUACGAACUCUGAAUUUGCAACAGAAGCUGAGGGUCAGAGUGAUGCUAUGGAGGAACCCAACAAGUUCCAGAAAAGGAAGAAGGACAGGCCUCAAGACCAGGGCUCAAGAAUGAUCUACCUGAAGGCCAUCCAGGGCAUCCUGGGGAAGUCAAUGCCCAAGAAGAAGGGAGAAGCUGCCACCACUCAGGGGAAGGCAAGCUUGGGAGACUGUCCUAAUCAGGAAGGACCAAGCAGGAAGGUGGAAGGACCAAGCAAGAAGGUGGAAGGACCAGCCAGGAGCAGGGACGGACCGUCCAGGAGUGGGGAAGGACGGUCCAGGAGCCGGGAAGAACUGGUCAAGAGCGUUGAGGAGGGACCAGCUGCAAAGGUUACAGUUACUGUUUCUCAGAAAGAAGAGUCACAUACGAAGGUCAGUGUGGAGAAGGAAGCGUCUGCGCUAGACAGGAGCAGCUUCAGUGACAGAAGAGUGAUCAUAGAUUCUGUGAAGAAAAGUAGUGAGGAGCUGCUUGGGGACCGAAGGACAGUUAUUGACAAACCCUCUCCAGCCCUAGAAUUUUUUGAUAACUCUGACUCUCAUGCAGAUAUUCAAAAGCACACAGACAGAGAGGUGGUGAUGGAGCAUCCCUCUUCAGGGAGUGACUGGUCAGAUGUGGAUGAGCUGGCCACUGUGAGGUUCUCCCAAGAGGAACCUGUCCCACUGAAAUACUCAGCAGUUUCAGAAUCCUCUUCCUUCCCCACUGACUGUGUAAUGUACCCUCCUCAUUUGUAUAGUAGCCCAUGGUGUGACUAUGCCAGCUACUGGACUAGCAGCCAUAAGACACCUGGUUAUCCAUUAGUGGGAUCCAGCAACCAUGACUCGGCACAGGCUGGGAAGAGCAGCCAGGAUCUUCUGAGUGUUCACUCCUCCAAGUCCCAGAGCAUCUCCAAAGGCCUAGACAUUGCCCAGGAAGGUAGGUUCCAGAAUUCCCACUCACUUCGGUUCUCCAGAAGCACAGAGGAGGAGGAGGUGAAGGGGAAGAGGACAUUCCAAGAGGAGACACCACUUCACCACACCAGAGAACACACAUCCAGCUCUUUGCCAAGGAGCCACAGAGAGCUGAGCCUGGAAGAGGGCUUCAUCGAUACCCACUGUCAUCUAGACAUGCUCUACUCCAAGCUGUCUUUCAAGGGGACCUUUACAAAGUUCAGAAAGAUUUAUAGCAGCUCCUUCCCUAAGGAGUUUCAAGGCUGCAUCUCUGACUUCUGUGAUCCAAGGACACUGACUGAUGGCCUAUGGGAGGAACUUCUGAAAGAAGAUCUGGUUUGGGGGGCUUUUGGCUGUCACCCUCAUUUUGCACGAUACUAUAAUGAGAGUCAAGAAAGAAAGCUUUUGCAUGCCUUACGCCACCCCAAGGCUGUGGCAUUUGGGGAAAUGGGGCUGGACUACUCUCACAAGUGUACUACUCCAGUUCCUGAACAGCACCAGGUGUUUGAGAGGCAGCUGAAGCUGGCUGUGUCUCUGAAGAAGCCCUUGGUCAUUCACUGCCGUGAAGCUGAUGAAGAUUUGUUGGAUAUCAUGAGAAAAUUUGUGCCCUCUGACUACAAGAUCCAUAGGCACUGCUUCACUGGCAGCUACUCAGUCAUUGAGCCCUUGUUGAAGUACUUCCCUAACAUGUCCGUGGGCUUCACAGCAGUGCUGACCUACUCUUCCGCCUGGGAGGCUCGGGAUGCCCUUAGACAGAUCCCGUUGGAGAGGAUCAUUGUGGAAACAGACGCACCCUACUUUCUCCCUCGCCAGGCAGUGGAAAGCCCUACCCUGUAGAGGGUAGUCCAUGGAAGCGUGGGACCCUGCUCACCCAGAGCCCCCCAUGACUAGGACUCUCCCUGCACCUGCAGGUGCCGAGAAGUCUUUGCCAGUAUGCUCAUCCAGGCUUGGCCUUGCACACAGUUCGAGAGAUUGCCAGGGUCAAAGAGGAGUCACUUUCCCACACUCUGUCAGUUCUCCGAGAGAAUACUUGUCGCCUCUACAGUCUUUGAGCAGGGAGCACGAGCAGUCAUCUUCUGGCAAAGGAUGACCAGUGGCCUGAUAGCAUAGGAGGGCUCCGUCUGUCUGUGUCCAAGGUGAAGGAUGUGUUGGAGAUCCUGUCAAAACUCAGCGCACCAGGAUGUUACCUUGGACCCUCAUCACAAGGCUUCACUUGCUGGUUGCUGGGUGGGUGGGUGGGUACUGUGGAAUGGAUUUGGGGUGAGGAGUAGUUUUGCCUGCUGGUCACAAGGCCCUAGGGUAAUCAGUGAGCAACAGAAAAAAAACAUUAUGACACAGUGUACAAUGAGAUGGCCAGUCUGGAUCCCUGCCCUUUGGCCUGGGUUUCCCAGCAGUCUGAAUAAAGUCACCUCUUUAUCUGA